UGGAUGAAGAGGAAGAGGAAACUGAAUUUGCAGCUGAACCUGAAUCAGUGAAAGAGGAUAGUGUUGCAGAAGAAAGGGGGGAGGAGGUAGCAACAACCGAGGAAGAGGAAAAGAUGAAGGAAGAGAAAGAAACGGAGAUAGUGGAAGAGGAAAAAAUUGAGGAAACUGAAGCUGCAGCUGAAACUAUUACUGUGGAAGAAAAGGUGGAAGAGGAAGCAAAAAACAUAGAGGAAGAAAAGGUGGAUGAAGCAACAACUGAAGAGGAAAAAGUGGAUGAAGAGAAGAAAGAGGAAACAGUUUUUGAAAUAGCUAUAGAAAAACUAGCAGAGGAAGUUGCUAUAAUAGGAGAGGCAGAAAAAGCAGAGAAAGAAGAGGCACGAGUAGUGGAAUGUGUUGCAGAUGAAGUGGUAGAAAAGCCAUUUGAGGAAGAGAAGAAGACAUUACCACCAGAGGAGAAGGAGGAAGCGGAGCCUCCAGUUGUAGAAACAAGAGUCCUGAGGAGAGGAAGAAAAAGUGUUCAUGCUACUCCGACUCCAAAACGCAAGUCCACACGAAGAGGCAAACAACCCGAUGAAGUAGAAAAGGAGGAUGAGCCAGAAGAGGAAAAUGGAUAUAAAAAAGAGCCACCAGUAGUGGAAGCCAGAGUUCAGAGUAGAGAAAGAAAAUCUGCCCCGACACCCAGACACAAAUCCAAACGAGCCCGCAAAGAACCUGGGGAGGAAGAAAAGGUAGAAGAGACAGCUGAACCUGUGCCUGAAGCUGUAGAGGAAAAGGUGGAGGAGGAAAAGGUAAAUGAAGCUGCAGCUGAAACUGCUACUGUGGAAGAAAAGGUUGAGGAGGCAGAAGCGAUAGAGGAUGAACAUGUGGAGGAAGCAACAACUGAGGAAGAGGAAAAGGUAGAGGAGGAGAAGGAAGCAGAAGCUGCACCUGAAACUUCACCAGUGGAAGACGAGACAGUGGCAAAAGAAAAGAUUGAGGAGGAAAUUAAAUCUGUAGAGGAAGAAAAGGUUGAAGCAACAGUUGAGGAAGAAGAAACAGUGGAAGAAGCAACAACUGAGGUGACUGUGGUAGAAGAGGCAGAAAAAUUGGAGGAGGCAACAGAGGUGGAAAGUGUAGCAGAGGAAGUAGUGGAAAAGCCAGUUGAGGAUGAGGAGAAAGCCUUACCACCCAAGGAAGAAGAGGGUAAAGUUGUAGAAACAAGAUUCCCGAGGAGAGGAAGAAAAAGCGUUUCUGUUACUCCUCCAAAACGCAAGUCCAUGCGAAGAGGCAAAGAAGCAGAGGAAGAGGAGAAGGAGAAGACAGGAAAGGUUGAGGAGAUGGAUGAAUUUGUGCAGGAAGCUGUGGAGGAAAAAGAGGCACUGGUAGUAGGAGCCAACAUUCUGAGGAGAGGAAGAAAAUCUGCUCCUGCCACACCCAGAUGCAACUCCAAACAAGCUUGCAAAGAACCUGAGGAAGAGGAAGUAAAGGGGGCAGAUGUUGCGAUGGUAGAGGACGAAGGAAACACUGAAGUACAAGCAGACAGUGGUGCUCCUGAGGCAAAAGAAGAAGCAAUCACACAUCAGCCAGAGGAGGUUAUGGCAGAGCAAACCAAGGAGAAGGAAGAAGAGGAGAACACAGAGGAGAAAACUACAGAAACAUCAAAAGAGGCAGCUGAAGUAGAAACAGCUGAAGCGGUAAAUGAGGUGGAAGAAGAGGUUGAUAAGGUAAUGGCAGAAGAGGCAAGCGUAGUAGAAGAGGUGGAAGUGGCCUCAGUGGCUGAGUGUGGUGUCAAGCCUGAGGAAAAUGGAACAGAGAAGGAGAAGAAGGAAGAAGAAACUAUUGAGGAGAAUGGUAUGGAAAAUGUAGAGAGCGGUGAGACAGAGGCAGAGGAUGGAGUCGGGGUCAAGGUGGACAACCUUAAUUUACAGUUGGCAGAAGACGAUGAGGAGGAGGAGAAAGAGGAGGGGGAGAAGAUGGAGGUAGCUCCAACUCAGAAGGAAGAGCUGAAGAGCUCUGCGGAAGAGGAGGCUCCAGUGGUUUUAACGAGAGUUCUGAGAGUGAGGUUAACUGCCACACCCACAACCACACCCAACUCCAAGGCCACGCCCCAGCGUAAAUCCACAAGACACAGCAAAAUAGUAACACCUGAGAAGUUCGAUCCUGAGGUGGUCCUGCUUUCAUCAGAUCAAGAGCAGGAAGAAAGCCUUGUGGAAAAGAGACAUCUACGUAAGAGAAAAAGCACAGGGCCAACACCUGUUCACAGCAGACCUUAGGCUGUGAAGACAGGUGUUUUUGUUCUCCUCUUUAAAUAUACAGCUAUAGAGGAAAGAUUUCACAUGGGACCAGAUCAUUUCCUUUUAUCUAUUUGUCAGAAGAAGAAAAAAACUGAAAAAAUGCUUCCUGUUUUUAUGUAAUUUUAUGUAAUUUUCCGAGUCAAUAUGCUGCAUAUUUAAUACCUUUUUAUAUUGUACGUAACAUUUAGCAUUUUAAGUACAAAUCUGUUUACUACUUUUUCAAAUUGCAGCUGUCAUUUUGACCUUAGUGGCGGGUAACGCAAUGUGUUUCAGUAGGCUGGGAGGCUUUGGUUUUCUGAUAAAUGUAUAGUAUUUUUAGGUCGAACAGUUUUUAACUGUUUCUGUUGCAGUUUCUAACCGCACAAAUGAUUCUAUACAAUUUUUUUGUAAUCACAAUUUAAACAUGAUCUUCUAAGAUAGCAUUUAUUCUCUCAAAAUACUACAGGGUGUAUCUCAGCAUACCAUAAUUCCAAACGGUGUCCCCUCAAGUAUAACUCAACAACUCUAUAAAUAAAUACAUAUAUUUUUUACGUAUGAAUUUAGUUACACUUAUUGUCAUUAAGAGACAUCUGAUUUUGUUAGUCAGUCUCACUCAGAUAUAAUAUUAAAACCUGCAAACAUUUCUCUCCACCCUAUGGAAAAAUGUGUAUAAUUGCAGGAAAUUAGUUUUAAAAAUGCUCAAUCUUUUAUCUGUCGAAUUGCAAAAUCUGUAGAAUUGCAGCAAACUUGUUUUAAAACUGCAAUAUUUUCUCUACACCCAUGGCAAAAUGUGUAGAAUUGCUCUAAAUUAACUGAAUUACGUAUGCACAAAUGGGUACGCAGACCCAUGAGCAACUGCGGCACCUUAUUAGUUCAGAUUUUUUGUGGCCCCCACCCUCAUCAAAGUUACCCAUCUCUGAUAUAAAUGCUAUUACAUUAAAUGUGUAAUAUGUUCUUAAAUGUGUAAUAUGACACAAAUAUGAUCAUUUGUGUGUUUCAAAAGUGUAAAAUAUGUCCUAUUUUAUUAAGGGAAUAAUGCAUUAAUCAAAGUUGUAUUUUUAUUUUACUGCACAUUUGAGUGACAUUUCUCUUUGACAUUUUUUAUGGUUUAAUUUUUACCCAAUUACAAAUGUUUUCAGCGGAACUGUCACGCUCUGACCAAAGUAAGCUGUUUUUCUCAGUGUUGGUUGGGGCGUGAUAGUGACUAGGGUGGGUCAUCUAGGUUUUGUAUGUCUAUUUUGGCCUGAUAUGCUACCCAAUAAGAGACAGCUGUUUAUCGUUGUCUCUGAUUGGGGAUCAUAUUUAGGUAGCCAUUUCCCCAUUGUUAGUUGUGGGAUCUUGACUAUGUGUAGUUGCCUGUCAGCACUAUUGUAUAGCGUCACCUUUCGCUUGUUAUUUUGUUUGUUUGUUCGGUGUGCAUUCUUUUAAUAAAGAGAAUGCACGCUGCGCCUUGGUCUCCUUCAUACGACUAAAAUCACAUUUGAUGUUGUUUUUGUCUAUUGUUAAUUUGAACAUAAUUCUUGAUUUGAAUUGUCAACACUGUCAUGGUGUUACACUUUGUGUGUAUUGAAAUAUUUGGUACACCUUGAACAUAAUGAUAUUUAGUGUUAAAAGAUAUAAAAAUUAAUACACACAAAUAUUUCCUCACUGAGCUGACGAGGCAUAAUAUUUUAGUUCAUUUGAAAAGGAUGUUGUUCGCAAUAUUGAUUUAUAUACCAAUAAAUGUAUGUAUAUCCUCACAUUUUAUUUAUUGUUAAUUAACAUGUGUCAUUAAGGUUUGAUGUACAGGAAGUUUAAAUUUAGUAACAGUAUAGUUCAAUCCACAGUAAUACCAUGGCCAUACAGAACAGUUUGUAAAAUAACAUUUAACUGUUUAAAAUAACACUUAUAAAAGCUGUGAUGUUAAACUGUAAAUGUUUUAUCUUGAGAGGUGGAAAUAUAGCUAGCUUAACUCUGAGUUUUCGUUUAUGUGUUAUCGUGUUUCAAACUUUGAAUGCUUUCUUAUACAUCUCAGUGUUCCACAAAAGCACAAGCCAUGUAGCCUGUCUUGAUCACAAACAUKUCCAUAUGUUGUAUUUUAUGACACACCUCUCGUUGCAUCAUUUGUUUUAAUUAGGCAAGUCAGUUGAGUUGAGUGCCUAAUUAAAACAAAUGAUGCAACGAGAGGUGUGUCAUAAAAUACAACAUAUGGAMAUGUUUGUGAUCAAGACAGGCUACAUGGCUUGUGCUUUUGUGGAACACUGAGAUGUAUAAGAAAGCAUUCAAAGUUUGAAACACGAUAACACAUAAACGAAAACUCAGAGAACAAAUACUUCUUUACAAUGAUGGCCUAGGAACAGCAGGUUAACUACUGUACUUAAUGCAGCUGGUGGCCACACCAGAUACUGACUGUUAAUUUGGAUUUUGACCCCCCCUUUGUUCAGGGACACAUUAUUCCAUUUAUGUUAGUCACAUGUCUGUGGAACUUGUUCAGUUUAUGUCUCAGUUGUUGAAUCUUGUUGUGUUCAUACAAAUAUUUACACGUUAAGUUUGCUGAAAAUAAACACAGUUGACAGUGAGAGGACAUUUCUUUUUUUGCUGUGUUUACUUUUAGACAUUUACUCAAGUAGUAUUUUACUGAGUGACUUUCACUUUUACUUGCAUCAUUUUCUAUUAAGGUAUUUUUACUUUUACUCAAGUAUGGCAAUUGGGUACUUUUCCCACCACUGUACAUAAUAGAGUGCUAGCUUAGUUAUCCAACUGAUCUUGCAUCUUUUCUGUCAUCCUGUGAACCCAUUCAUUGCUGCUCACAGCUAUAUUUGGAAAUCUUCUUGUUCAAAUCCUGCAGUGAUCACAUAUACAAACUCUGUUACCACAUCCAAAGGGAAGGGGGAGAUACCUAGUCACUUGUUUAACUAAAUGCAUUCAACUGAAAUGUGUCUUCCACAUUUAACCCAACCCCUCUGAAUCAGAGAGGUGCGGGGGGCUGCCAUAAGCAAACAAUGGGUUAACUGCCUUGCUCAGGGGCAGAACAACCGAUUUUUACCUUGUCAGCUCUGGGAUUUGAUCCAGAAACUUUUUGGUUAAUGGCCCAACACUCUAACCACCAGGCUACCUGCCGUACAUGAUGCAAUGGUGGUAACCCUUUUCUGCAAAUGACCAAAUCACUCUUUAGUGGCUUCAGGGGUGAAAUGUUAAUUAUAUUUUUCAUAAUUACUCAACUUUUCUUUUUUUUAUGUCGAAAGUCUGGUGUUUCCAUGUCAAGCGGUUUUGUUAUAUUUCUGUCCUCUGUGAUACAUAUAAAAUGUUAUAUUGGGAUGCAAACUCAAAAUGUAAUACAUUUAAUCUCUAUAUCGGACAUGGUGCAGGUGUCUUAUUUUUUUAAGCCCAUAACCAUGUGUGAAGUGUAUACUUUAGUUUCAAAGUAGAUUUGUUUAAGUUAAGACUACCAAGAAACACUUUGAUUUAGCCCAUUGCAGUAAAAGGUUGAUGUAUAACUACUAACGUUAGGUAGAUAGCUAACAUACUGGUACAUACUGCUGUAAUUAUAUGCUAUGUGGUUCAUAAGGACAGCGUCGCUAACAAUUUGUCAGCCAACAUGUGAGGUGUAAGGUAACUUAUUUCAAAAGUCAUUACUUUAUUACAUUGAUUUAGCAAGCUACCGCGAGGGCACGCUCUAUCGACUCUGCGCUUUGAGCAUGCGUUUGGCGCACAGUCGAUAGUGCGCUGGACUUCUGGCAAGAAGGUUGAGGGUUCGAA
rnacentral:lncRNA from 1 species